rnacentral:rRNA from 1 species
UACGGAGGGGGCUAGCGUUGUUCGGAAUUACUGGGCGUAAAGCGCACGUAGGCGGCUUUGUAAGUUAGAGGUGAAAGCCCAGGGCUCAACCCUGGAAUUGCCUUUAAGACUGCAUCGCUUGAAUCAUGGAGAGGUGAGUGGAAUUCCGAGUGUAGAGGUGAAAUUCGCAGAUAUUCGGAAGAACACCAGUGGCGAAGGCGACUCACUGGACAUGUAUUGACGCUGAGGUGCGAAAGCGUGGGGAGCAAACAGG